rnacentral:rRNA from 1 species
GACAGAGGGUGCAAGCGUUGUUCGGAAUCAUUGGGCGUAAAGCGCGCGUAGGCGGCCAGGUAAGUCGGGUGUGAAAGCCCACGGCUCAACCGUGGAAGUGCAUCCGAAACUGCUUGGCUUGAGUGCCGGAGAGGGUGGUGGAAUUCCCAGUGUAGAGGUGAAAUUCGUAGAUAUUGGGAGGAACAUCCGUGGCGAAGGCGACCACCUGGACGGACACUGACGCUGAGGUGCGAAAGCGUGGGGAGCAAACAGG